CUAUUGUUAAACAAUACACAUGCACACCAGUAUGGGACCUGCAGCCACAGCAAAACAAACAGGGCAGAUCUCCCAGAGCAAGAGCAAACAGCAGGCACCAAUGAGAUGGCACCAAAGUGGCCGGAUACCUUCCCAGUCCGAGUGACCCGGAGUGUGGCAGGGCAGGGCAUAUUGCUUAGGGCAUGGCUAACCCACUCUGUACCUGCAGCUCGGACUCUACCCAAGGGGACGAUUUUGCCUUUGCUCUCUGAGUGGCCUGUGGCUGCUUAAAGAGGCUGAGAAUCAUCUGGCAUGGCCUGUUCGUAGCUGCAAGUCAUCGAAGCUUCUGAGGAAGUGGCAGUAGGCCACGAAACGCGUCAAGCUGAUGGUGUGGUGUUUGGCAAUAUGUUUUUAAUAGAGGUAUGAAAUAAAGUAUUCAUUAUUUUUACGAA